rnacentral:rRNA from 1 species
CACGUAGUUAGCCGUGGCUUUCUGAUGAGGUACCGUCAAGAUACCGCCCUAUUCGAAACGGUACGUGUUCUUCCCUCAUAACAGAGCUUUACGAGCCGAAACCCUUCUUCACUCACGCGGCGUUGCUCCGUCAGACUUUCGUCCAUUGCGGAAGAUUCCCUACUGCUGCCUCCCGUAGGAGUCUGGGCCGUGUCUCAGUCCCAGUGUGGCCGAUCACCCUCUCAGGUCGGCUACGCAUCGUCGCCUUGGGGAGCCAUUACCUCUCCAACUAGCUAAUGCGCCGCGGGCCCAUCUUAACGUGAGAGCCAGAGGCCCUCUUUUAAUCUUGCACCAGGAGGUGCUAGAUGUUAUCCGGUAUUAGCCCCGGUUUCCCGGAGUUAUCCCAGUCGUUAAGGCAGGUUGCCCACGUGUUACUCACCCGUCCGCCGCUAACGUUGUUGGAGCAAGCUCCAACAACGUCCGCUCGACUUGCAUGUAUUAGGCACGCCGCCAGCGUUCGUCCGUGUAGCCACGAGUCAAA